rnacentral:rRNA from 1 species
GAUGAACGCUGACAGAAUGCUUAACACAUGCAAGUCGACUGGAAUUCUUCUUCGGAAGAUAGUACGGUGGCGGACGGGUGAGUAACGCGUAAAGAAUUUGCCCUCUAGACUGGGACAACUAAUCGAAAGGUUAGCUAAUACCGGAUAUUAUGAGACCUUGGCAUCAAGGACUUAUGAAAGCUAUAUGCGCUGGAGGAGAACUUUGCGUCCCAUUAGGUAGUUGGUAGGGUAACGGCCUACCAAGGCGACGAUCAGUAGCCGGCCUGAGAGGGUGAACGGCCACACUGGAACUGAGACACGGUCCAG